GUGGGGUGAUGGCCUACCAAGGCGACGACGGGUAGCCGGCCUGAGAGGGUGUCCGGCCACACUGGGACUGAGAUACGGCCCAGACUCCUACGGGAGGCAGCAGUGGGGAAUAUUGCACAAUGGGCGCAAGCCUGAUGCAGCGACGCCGCGUGGGGGAUGACGGCCUUCGGGUUGUAAACCUCUUUCACCAUCGACGAAGCCGGGGGCUUUUGUUUCCGGUGACGGUAGGUGGAGAAGAAGCACCGGCCAACUACGUGCCAGCAGCCGCGGUAAUACGUAGGGUGCGAGCGUUGUCCGGAAUUACUGGGCGUAAAGAGCUCGUAGGUGGUUUGUCGCGUUGUCCGUGAAAUUCCCUGGCUUAACUGGGGGCGUGCGGGCGAUACGGGCAGACUUGAGUACUGUAGGGGAGACUGGAAUUCCUGGUGUAGCGGUGGAAUGCGCAGAUAUCAGGAGGAACACCGGUGGCGAAGGCGGGUCUCUGGGCAGUAACUGACGCUGAGGAGCGAAAGCGUGGGGAGCGAACAGGAUUAGAUACCCUGGUAGUCCACGCCGUAAACGGUGGGUACUAGGUGUGGGUUUCCUUCCUUGGGAUCCGUGCCGUAGCUA
rnacentral:rRNA from 1 species